rnacentral:rRNA from 1 species
CGAUUACGGGAGGCAGCAGUGGGGAAUAUUGCACAAUGGGGGGAACCCUGAUGCAGCCAUGCCGCGUGAAUGAAGAAGGCCUUCGGGUUGUAAAGUUCUUUCGGUGACGAGGAAGGUUGAUAUGUUAAUAGCGUAUCAAAUUGACGUUAAUCACAGAAGAAGCACCGGCUAACUCCGUGCCAGCAGCCGCGGUAAUAUCG